GACGAACGCUGGCGGCGUACUUAACACAUGCAAGUCGAACGGAAAGGCCCUGCUUUUGUGGGGUGCUCGAGUGGCGAACGGGUGAGUAACACGUGAGUAACCUGCCCUUGACUUUGGGAUAACUUCAGGAAACUGGGGCUAAUACCGGAUAGGAGCUCCUGCUGCAUGGUGGGGGUUGGAAAGUUUCGGCGGUUGGGGAUGGACUCGCGGCUUAUCAGCUUGUUGGUGGGGUAGUGGCUUACCAAGGCUUUGACGGGUAGCCGGCCUGAGAGGGUGACCGGCCACAUUGGGACUGAGAUACGGCCCAGACUCCUACGGGAGGCAGCAGUGGGGAAUAUUGCACAAUGGGCGGAAGCCUGAUGCAGCAACGCCGCGUGCGGGAUGACGGCCUUCGGGUUGUAAACCGCUUUCGCCUGUGACGAAGCGUGAGUGACGGUAAUGGGUAAAGAAGCACCGGCUAACUACGUGCCAGCAGCCGCGGUGAUACGUAGGGUGCGAGCGUUGUCCGGAUUUAUUGGGCGUAAAGGGCUCGUAGGUGGUUGAUCGCGUCGGAAGUGUAAUCUUGGGGCUUAACCCUGAGCGUGCCUUCGAUACGGGUUGACUUGAGGAAGGUAGGGGAGAAUGGAAUUCCUGGUGGAGCGGUGGAAUGCGCAGAUAUCAGGAGGAACACCAGUGGCGAAGGCGGUUCUCUGGGCCUUUCCUGACGCUGAGGAGCGAAAGCGUGGGGAGCGAACAGGCUUAGAUACCCUGGUAGUCCACGCUGUAAACGGUGGGUACUAGGUGUGGGGUCCAUUCCACGGGUUCCGUGCCGUAGCUAACGCUUUAAGUACCCCGCCUGGGGAGUACGGCCGCAAGGCUAAAACUCAAAGGAAUUGACGGGGCCCCGCACAAGCGGCGGAGCAUGCGGAUUAAUUCGAUGCAACGCGUAGAACCUUACCUGGGUUUGACAUGGAUCGGGAGUGCUCAGAGAUGGGUGUGCCUCUUUUGGGGUCGGUUCACAGGUGGUGCAUGGCUGUCGUCAGCUCGUGUCGUGAGAUGUUGGGUUAAGUCCCGCAACGAGCGCAACCCUUGUUCACUGUUGCCAGCACGUUAUGGUGGGGACUCAGUGGAGACCGCCGGGGUCAACUCGGAGGAAGGUGGGGAUGACGUCAAGUCAUCAUGCCCCUUAUGUCCAGGGCUUCACGCAUGCUACAAUGGCUGGUACAGAGAGUGGCGAGCCUGUGAGGGUGAGCGAAUCUCGGAAAGCCGGUCUCAGUUCGGAUUGGGGUCUGCAACUCGACCUCAUGAAGUCGGAGUCGCUAGUAAUCGCAGAUCAGCAACGCUGCGGUGAAUACGUUCCCGGG
rnacentral:rRNA from 1 species